UCUCCCGUGCGCCUCCUCCCCGGCCUUCCUCGCGAAUCAUCCGGCGACUCCCAGGUCAUGCCGCCGCUCCCCUGCCUUCUCUCUCUCGCUCUCUCUCUCUCUCUCUCUCAUCUCCUUUUCUCUCCUUCUCUCCAGGAGCUCAGCGCCAAUGCCCAGUCCUCGAGCUCACCUUGGAGGUUCAAACGCCGCCACGGGACCUCCACUGGACAGAUCCGGCACCUCCCUCCCGGAUCUGUGCGCCCUCCACCUCCUCUAUCCGAUCUGGCGCCGCCCAACCCGCCAUGACCUCCACCAUGGCGCCCGCCGAGAUCCUUUUCUCCGUCGAUGCGUCGUCGUCACAUGAGGACUUGGACGCCUGGCUAGCUGACAACCUCCCCCAAAUCCUACAGGAGGUUCAGAUCUAAUAAUGCAGGUGAAUUUGGGCUUGCCGAAAUAUAGGAGUGUGCUGCGUGCUGCAGCAGGUUUGGAUGCGGCAAUCAAGACCAUGGCUCGGCUUGGGGAGCAUCAAGCAUCGACUGAUGUGAAGAGGCCAAGAUUCAAGGAUUUAAAUUGCCAAAAUAUAUGAUUGUUGGGGAUUCAGUACUGGGCCAUUGUAUUUAAAAUUUCGAAUGAGCUGUCUGCCAUUGUUUAUAUCACAUCUUCCUUUGCUAGACCACGUGAGCUGAUUCCAACAUUGGCCUCAAGUUGCACCCGUCUAUGACAAGUGGUUAGUUUUAUGGGUUCAGGUAUUGAUAAGCACCAUCCUUGGUUUAGUUCACAUGUCUUGAAUUAUUUUGAUCAUUUUGGUAACAUCAAACUGGGUUGCAUAGAAGUAUCUGCUAAUUGGGUUUGACCUUUUUGAGGAAUGCUACUACAGCACUUCAAAACUAGUAGGCUGUUUUCAUCAGCAGCAUACAUCUGACCACAUGAUGGAGCUCUGUAAUACAAGAGUGUACGAUGCAUUCCUGAGAUUCUAAGGGAUACCCGUGGAAGGUCUACGAUAGCUGAUUUUAGAAUAUGCAUUUAUUGGUCCUGGCAUUAUGGUGCACAUAGUCGCUGCUGAUGAUGAAAUACUGGACAAUGACAAGGAUAAUUCGUUGUUACAGGAACUCUAGCAUGAGUAGUUUAUUUGACAUUAAUUGGAUUGGAUUACACCUUUUUCUUUGCUUUAACAUCAGUAUUGCAGUUAUCUGGACGGAUCACCUGCAAACCAUUUCGUGCACAUCUCGACGGCGAUGAGGUAGCCCUCUGUGUUGUUGUCGCUUGAUGUUAGUAUUUUUUGGAUUUGAAUUUGCUUUGUGUGACGUUCCUCAUGUAGGAAUCAGUUUCAAUGUGGAGUGGAUUAACAUUUUGUUUCAGUUUAGUUUGUAGGCCUUACUGUCUGCAAAUUCUUAACAUACUUUCAUCAUAUGUGCAUCCAUAGCAAAUACUUUGAUCGGAAUCAUAGACUGCUCCAAGAUUACGUCAGUUGCGUAAGUGCCUAGCUCCAGUUGUUGACAUAGAGGACUAGAAUUGUCACAUGUGUAGUUAUGUUUUACCAAUGCCACAGAGUAUCUAGCAAAUAGUAAUUUUCUACAUAACCUGGAAUGUUCUUCUGAACUGUAAUUUUGAAUGAGCCAUUAUCUGAUAUUUAGAUCUAGCCAAAAAUGAUCAUGACUGAUAUAACACAUUCUCAGAAUGCUACACUUUCAGUGCAUGGCUUCAAAUUGCAGCCUCCAACUUGAACAUAUACAGAAUUUGCAUGUCAAAAGAGCGGAGGCUGAUGGCUAUAAAAAUUAGAGCUUCGGAGUGGUCUUCAGUCUUCACACCCCGUUAGCUAAACUCUUUGUAUAGUUGUCGCUGAAAUCCUCUUUCCAAAUUCAAGGACAUCAAGCAUCCCAUCCUCAACUGAUUACGCUUGAUGCAGGUUGGGACUUUUGCUCUAGGCAGACAGUUAAAGCAGGGGUCAUGGCUACCAUAUCCAGCCUAUAUUGUACAAGAAACUCAUCCUGUUGAAGUGUUGAUACUGUCAAGGAUAGUAUUGUUGCCAUGCAGACUAAAAAAAUCUUUUCCAGUGCAUGUAGUUGGCCUCCUUUCUAUGUACUUCUGAAACUGCAAAUUUUUUUCUUACUUUUAAAUCAAGAAUUGGUGUAUAACAAAAAGUGUUUUCAUUAUUUUUCCAAGGAAAAUUGUAAUUGAUAUUUUUAGAAAGGAAGCAUGAAGAAGUUGA